UGGGGAAUAUUGCACAAUGGGCGCAAGCCUGAUGCAGCGACGCCGCGUGGGGGAUGACGGCCUUCGGGUUGUAAACUCCUUUCGCUAGGGACGAAGCUUUUUGUGACGGUACCUAGAUAAGAAGCACCGGCUAACUACGUGCCAGCAGCCGCGGUAAUACGUAGGGUGCGAGCGUUGUCCGGAAUUACUGGGCGUAAAGGGCUCGUAGGUGGUUUGUCGCGUCGUCUGUGAAAUUCCGGGGCUUAACUCCGGGCGUGCAGGCGAUACGGGCAUAACUUGAGUACUGUAGGGGUAGCUGGAAUUCCUGGUGUAGCGGUGAAAUGCGCAGAUAUCAGGGGGAACACCGAUGGCGAAGGCAGGUUACUGGGCAGUUACUGACGCUGAGGAGCGAAAGCAUGGGUAGCGAACAGG
rnacentral:rRNA from 1 species